rnacentral:misc_RNA from 1 species
UGUGGGAGCGAGCUUGCUCGCGAUGACGGUCUGCCAGUCGAUAGAGAUGUUGAAUUUGAUGGCGCCAUCGCGAGCAAGCUCGCUCCCACA